rnacentral:lncRNA from 1 species
UAAUCAGCCAAUGAGGGUAGCGCUUAGGGGAAGAAUGGCUGUGUGCUGUGUGCCGGGCACCAUUACCAAGAAUGGAGGGCAGCAGAGCCAGGCUGGGGACAGAUAAAGGAGGACAGGAAGAGCAUGAGAGCAGCGGAAAGGAGGUGGCCAGGCUCCUAGCAGUCACCCAGGCGCUCAGCAGAAGAGCGGCCACUCAGGGUAUGAGAGGAGCCUGUCUUACCCUUCCCUACAGAGAAGCUGUGGGAGGAGCUGAGCCAUCUGAGAGCCAGUGUACAGGUGUGCCCAGCGCAGCAUGUGCUCUGCAGGGGAGUGUUGGCUGACGUGCUAAGCUCUUCCAAAUUGACUUAUAAAAGUACAGUAUUUUAUUUUCAUUUAACUGUAGGUUCUUUUAUUUUCUAUGGCUAAACAUGAUCAUUGUCACAUGGUAAGCCAUAAGAAGUGCACUGACCCUAUUCAUGUGUCUUUGAGCUGUUUUCUUAUGUCAGAACUUUAGGAGAGAACAAUGCAAGUGAAUAGCAACGUAAUAAAUGAUGCAUUUUUUUUUUACUUUGUUUUGGCACUGGACUGUGUAAAUUGAAAUUUUUUAAUUGAAUGUAUAAUAAAAACAUCUGUGCUUUU